GAACUAUGUUGAGGAUUGGGAGUGACCACAGAAGACACCGGGUUAAAGGUUAUUUUAAGUGUUUAUUUCACGUACACUCAGUGUAUCACAGUCAGUGAAUAAGUCUCAUCAUGAAACAUUAAACUGCGCGCAUGCAAAUAAAGACAAAUAUUCAAAGACACACAAUGAUCUGAUAUCUUGCCCUUGCCUUUGAAAGUGAUUCUGAACUAACGACAGACACACACACACACAGACACACACACACACACACACAGACACACACAGACACACACACAGACAAAGCAGGCAGGCGCGCGUGCACGUCUCUGCCCAAACCAAACUAGGACACGAGCACACCCGCAUAGUUGUGGCUAUAACUAUUAUUUCAAUGAGCAUUUUUAAAAACAGGCUAAACACGUCAUUAUUAUCUGCAGUAUGACUUUGUAAUGUUUGCUUGAGAUCUCUUUGGUGAGUUGCUAAUUUAAUAAAACGCCAAAUUCAUUUUCUGCUCGAGACAAUCCAAUUAAUCAAAGAGCAAAAUGCUGAUGAGAUACAGUCAGUAUUGUAGCUACGUAGGCUGUUUACUGUAGCCUCAAUAAAUCCGUGGCUUCUUAAGAUGUAAAAUGUUGUAGGGAAAUGUGGAAUCUUUGUAAGCGUGGUGGCUUUUUAUGCAAAAAAUAAAAAUCAACUCAACCAUGUUUGACUUGCAAAUAAUUCGACUAUGCAAAUAAUUCACUAUUAUACCCGGUGCGGUUGAUUAUGUGUUCAGGCUAUAGCGGGGAUCAGCAUCUCCUAAAGUUUGUGCACGCAGCGGUGUCUUAGUAUUUGUAUUCUUUUGUGCUAACUGCGGGUUUGUUUGCACCGGAUCAAUGUCCUAAAGCGUACACACUGCAGCACAGUAAGGCCCAACAUAACACAUGACACACGGAACGAGGGGGAUUUUUUUUAACUAAACACAACUUUAAGGAGUAAAACACAUGAAUCAUGCGGGUUAUAAAAUGUCCGUUAAAAACUUCAUUGUUUGAGCAAAUAAAUAAAUAAAUCCACGCAAACAGAUUAACGAGUCACAUUGGGCUUUUAAUUCCAACAACGUUUGAACAUUUUGUCCAGUGCGUGAUAUCACAACAACAUUUGUUUUCGCGUGUAUUAAUUAAGUAAUUAGUUAUUAUUAGUAAUUAGUAAUUGAGUAACUAUGAGGAAUGUAAUUAUAGUUAUUCAGUCAAUCUCACUAUGUCCUUGUUUCAUUAGUACUAUUAUACAUUAGUAUCUUAUAAAUAUCGUUGCCUGGUUUCGGCUGCAGCUCGGUAUUUGUUUACGUUGUUGCUCUGUGACCUUUAGCCUGUUAAAGUAAAGGUUUUCACCUGAACCUAACAAAUUUAAACUUUUACAACAAUAGUUGUGGAAAAGAUUCGAGACAAAUGAACUUUUUUUUUUUUAAUGUCUGUUCUUGAAUAGAUACGUGCAAAACCCGCAUUAAUUUUGACAACCGGGCCAUAGUUAAAUCACAUGCCCGCUCUUUUGGCCAACAUUAAAACAUCCAGAAGAAUAAAUAAUAAUUAAAAAAAGCUAGUAAAGCUGUUGAUUCCAGAUUUAUACUAUACUGAAACCACAUGUGACGCAGCGAUUCAGAAACUUCGUGAAAAUAACACAGGAUAUGUGUGUAGAACAAUAGCUCAGGUAUGCAAUGAAUUGUUUAUUAGGCUGUAAGAUGUUUUGCGUCAACAGUUAAAAGAAGAAGAAGAAAACUUUAUGCUUGACGUAAUUCUGUGUGGGUUCCCUUUUACACCGCAAUAAUAAAUAUCCUUGCAGGCCCUUGCAUUCACUAUCGCACAAAUCUCACCGCCUAGUUCAUGUUUUUGCAGCACAUUUCAAUGAAGAGCACAGCCAAGUGCGGCUCCAUGAGUUAGCCUGAUCUACUUCAAAACAACUCAUUUUAAAAAACAAAAUAAUAUGUGUUUGCUUUUUAACGAAUUCUGCGAGAGUAGUAAAGUCAUGUGAAGAAAUAUUUUAACAUAAGAGUCCAAUUAAAAGAUCAGGCCGAGCUUAAGUAUUUUCGUAAAUAAUACAUGAAAAGUGCUGCAGUGAAUCUACAAAGUGAUGUCAGUAAAACGCAUUUAGGAUUGCACCGCAGUCUGAAAUUUAGCAGGUCAAAUGCAAAAACGUUUACUUUUUUUUUAAGGCUGCUUCACAACGUCAAGGGUUAAAAUCUACUCUGCAGUUUGGCGAUUCUUUCACAUUAAAACUUAAAUACAAUAAACAUUUCUGUUAUGAUUUUCUGUUCAAUAACACACCUGCGGACAUCUUACCUUGCUAAAUUGGUGGCAACCACAAAGUAAAAUCGAUAAAAACAAACAUUUCAAAAAAAUACUGACACAAAUUGCACUCUGUCUUAUGACAAAUCCUCGAUGGUCUCAUCUCCACAGCACUGGCGCCGGAAAAAAUGGAAAUCACACGCUGACUAAUUGAAUUUGGGGGAGUUCUGAAGUUAAACAGAAUUAAAAUAAUCAAAAGCCACGUAGUGAGUGCCUUCAAAAAAAAAAAAAUCUCUGCUGCAGUAAGCCGUCCUUUGUUCCCCCUCUGGUGUGGGGCCUGCUGUCCUGACAGGCGGAUGGUCGCUGGGUGGCGCUCUUGCUCCAUCAAAAAGCCUCCAGAUUUCCCAACUUGACCGCGCUUACGUCACGUCAGUCUGGAGCAUCAAGGCCACUUCCACGCCGCUAUUGGUCUGAAAAUCACAUGACAUGUCUCCCAGCAUCCAUAAUUAUGUUACUGAUAUUUUUGCACCCCCCUCCAAAAGAUGUCAGCAUCCUACUGUCCUUAUUCUCCUGGCGAAAUCCCGUAGUCCAGACCAGUGGAACACACUAAACGAUUAACUGUGUUGCCAAAUGCAAAAAUGUCAUGUCCGAAUAACAUAGCUCCCGGUAACUUCCUGAUGGAUUCCUUAAUGGGAGGAUCAUCUUCCUUCAGGGGUGAGGGUUAUUCCAGCAACCCCGGAAUGUACAUCCACACAGCAGCCGCAGAGUACGGAUAUUCAGUGAUGAGAAACAUUGGGAAGAUUGGACCAUCUUCACUCUCCAAAAGAGACGAGGUUCCUCCGGCCGGUCUGGCGCUCAGCGGCUUCCAGGAUGCGCCCUACCUGUCAACACAGCUGGCCACAUGGACCCCAGGCUCCAAAACCAGUAGGGACGAACAACCUGUUGCCCAGUGUUUACAACCCUGCUCGUUUCCAGCGGGCAACGUCAAAGAGGAGGCGUUUUGUUGCCUCUAUCAGGAUGACAGCAAUAAGGGGAAGCAGACAACAGAGUCAGCUACUUACAUCCGGCUUGGGGACAAUAGCUGCCGGCCAGAGCAAACUGCAGCCUCUUCCAGCGGCUGUUUCCAGGUGUACAACGGCGAGAGGCCGCAACAGGACGAUCAGCAGUACCCCUCGGGCUUCUCUCUGACCCACUUGGCGACAUCUGUUGAGUCAGCAUCAGAAUCAACAAUAAGUUGCAGCAAAUCGACGCAGGAGACAGCAUCGAGAGAGGUUUCAAAUACAGAUGAGAGUCAGAGGAGGAAGGAAGAGAAGGCCAAGAGUGACAGCUGUUCAGAUAACUCGGACGGAGAAUUAAAAGAUGAUUUAUCCACGGAAAAGACAACGGGAAGCUGGUUAAAAGCCAAAAGUGGAAGGAAGAAGCGGUGUCCCUACACAAAGCACCAGACGCUGGAGCUGGAGAAGGAGUUCUUGUUCAACAUGUAUCUGUCUCGGGAGCGCCGCCUGGAGAUCAGCCGGAGUAUCAACCUGACCGACAGACAGGUCAAGAUCUGGUUCCAAAACAGACGCAUGAAGCUCAAGAAGCUCAACAGGGAGAGCCGAGAACGGGAGCACAGUGCAGUUUAUAACUACUCCUGAAGAUUGUUUUAACCCACACUCACACUCAUAUUCACGCAUACACUCAUACGCAUGCACACACACACGCACACACACACACACACACGCACACACAUGCAUAUCCAUAGACAAGACAGGCAAAGAUCAUGCAUGUGUUAUCUUUUAAUGCAUUUAAUUAUCAUUUAUCAGUUUAUACAUUAUGUGCACACACUCAUACAAACACACACACAAACACACACACACAUACACACGGCGUGCCUUCCUAUAAGAACUAUAAAAACCUGCAGACUGGAGGUGAACACGUGCAGCAGCACUGGAACAGUGAUGUGUUAUUACCUAGCAAUGAUAAUUAUAAUACAACAUGAGCCAAACGAAGGGAGGCUCAAGCAGUCUAUAAACUACUCGUGGCAUGUAAGCAGUUUCACUUUGCUGAGCUAUAAUGAAUGUUUGCCACUUGUGCAGCUUCUUCGUUGGUGUCUGUUGCUCUGGCAUAUUCCUGCCGUGUAAUGUGCAGACAGAUAUUAGGCUCUGUCAUGGCAAACGAUUCCAAAAUAAUAAAAGGAGGGGGAAACGGAAAGGUAUUACCAACUUUGUCCUUCCCCUGGUAUAGUGGUGCAAAUGAGAGGGAGGGAGAGACACUGCGGAUGAGAGAAGGAGAUUAUGGCACUUUUAAUAGAAGUGAGAGACCAUAACGUUGAUUUAAAUAUUAUCCAGGUGACCACAGUAAGUCAAGGUCAUAAAAUUCUAAUGUCAGGUUCGCCCUGGAAAGCGUUGGGGGUGGAUUUUAUGAUCUGCAAAUAUAAUGUGCUGCAGCAGUAAAGAUGCGUUUAAAGGUGUGUGUGGAGGAGGGCUAAUCCACACAGCAAAGACUGCAAUGUGCAGGAUCCCAGCCGAGGCGCUGGGCUGGAAGGAGCAGCCGCCUCCAACCCGGGAUAAUGGAGUUUCAUGGAAGCAUGGAGAUAAGAAAGAUGGUGGAUAAAAGGAAGAGCGACCGCGACGGCUACAGGAACAAUAAUAACAAGCAUCCCGGCAAACACGUGGAUAACUAAACGCACGGGGGAGGACGUCUGCAGGAAGCAGGUGAAGCCCCCCUCCUUUCUUUGGCGGUAGUGCAACUGGAAGAGACAGUCUGGAAUCCAAAGUCACUUUCAUUCAGCUCAGUGAAUGAGUGUCUCCCUUGGAAUGCAUCGCUGACAAAGACUUUACAGCGCUGGAAACAGCCCCGAGAGCUGCACAGAUUCACCCUAAAACCAUAUACACAUAAAGCAAUUUAUUUCACUUUGUAGUGGCGCACAGGAACUGAUGGCUUUAGACAGAUACUUCCUUGGCGAGCAGCUCACAAUGUGUUAGUGCCACUGGCGUGAUCAGACGUGAAGCAAAUAUUCUAACUAUUCUUUUUUAUUAUUUUUUUAUUUUUCACGUAUAGUAUUAGGUUUUUCUUGUGACAUAUAGGAUGCAAUUGGGACUUUAUGUGUAAAGAUUUCUUUUAAAGUGUAAGUGAAUAAUGAUUAAAUUUAGGAGAUAAGUGACAUUAACUUUUAUUUUCUUGGAUUUUGCUUUUAUUAUUUUGAACUUUGCUUGCCAAAUAAUGCUCUAAAUGUAGCUUUUUAAAGAAUGUUUAUAUAUUUUAAAAUGUCAAUUAAAAGGCUAUAACAUAUAUCCGCCGUACAUAGUUUGGAGCUGUUAUCGUCCAAACAGAAACAACAUUUAUGCUAUAAAAUGUGCUUUUUUUUUACAUUUAAGGGAUCAUUAUCAUUGUCCCACAUCAAUUACCUCGCCUUUUUAACCAAGAAAAACUGCACUAUAGGACGAGAAUGUAAAAUGUUUAUCACUGCGGCAGGCCUGGUCAGCAAGAGGAAUAUCCAUAUUGAUCCGAAUCUUGUUAUGUUGAAAAACGGAAAAUGUUUUUUGAUUCAAAUAAAAGAGAGUUUAAUCAGUUUGAAGGGAGACUGUAUAAUUGAUCAAGAAGCAUGUUUGGACUGUGUGAAACAGUAAUAUGUUGCGGUUAUCCUCGAUGGAGAAGACUAAUACAGUUUGGAUUGUGCGGAUAAUUUUGUGGCCUCUCGGCUCAUCAUACUGUAACUCUUGGUUGUGCGGUGCUUUCUGUUCAGCACAUGUGUAGUUAUAAAUAAAGUGUGAUAUCCGCUUUGAUUCUUCCUUAUGCAAAGUUUACGGUCUAAAUAAUGCCUUUGGAUAAACUCCCAAUUUGGUUACACUACAGUUUGCAUAUGUUGGGUGUGUCUGUUUGUGUGUGUGUGUGAGAGACAGAGACAGAAAGUUGUGUUUGAUCUGGAGGUUCAUGGGCAAAUUUACUCUGCUUUUUUGUUGUGAAUGUUUCUUGUAGAAAAUUACAUUUGACUGGUCUCUCCCCGUUAUGAAAAGAAUAGACAGUGCUACCUACCCUGUCAUUACGCAACAGCCAGCCACUGUAAGUGUCUAAUAAAAGAAAGUCAUGUUGAAACGCAUAGCUGAACUCGUUCGUUCAUUAUUCAUCCAACCAUCAAUGACACAAACUGGUUGUGCUGACUGAAGUUAAAACAAACAAACUUUACACUCCCUUGACAAUGAAAAUGAAUCAUCACCUCAACAUCCGUAUGAGAUUAUUUGAUGUUGAGAUCAGCCUGUCGAGCUCUGCUUUUCUGUUGGCUCCAUAAUUAUAAGGAUACAAAUGAAGAGUCAUCUGCACUCUGGCUCAAUCAACCAUGCGCACAUAUUUACUGUG